rnacentral:rRNA from 1 species
UACAGAGGGUGCGAGCGUUAAUCGGAAUUACUGGGCGUAAAGCGUGCGUAGACGGUUUCGUAAGUCGGGUGUGAAAUCCCCGGGCUCAACCUGGGAAUUGCAUUCGAAACUGCGAGGCUAGGGUACGGAAGAGGGAAGCGGAAUUUCUGGUGUAGCGGUGAAAUGCGCAGAUAUCAGGAGGAACACCUAUUGCGAAGGCAGCUCGCUGGGACGUUACUGACGCUGAGACGCGAAAGCGUGGGGAGCAAACAGG